rnacentral:rRNA from 1 species
GAUGAACGCUGGCGGCGUGCCUAAUACAUGCAAGUCGAGCGAACGGACGAGAAGCUUGCUUCUCUGAUGUUAGCGGCGGACGGGUGAGUAACACGUGGAUAACCUACCUAUAAGACUGGGAUAACUUCGGGAAACCGGAGCUAAUACCGGAUAAUAUUUUGAACCGCAUGGUUCAAAAGUGAAAGACGGUCUUGCUGUCACUUAUAGAUGGAUCCGCGCUGCAUUAGCUAGUUGGUAAGGUAACGGCUUACCAAGGCAACGAUGCAUAGCCGACCUGAGAGGGUGAUCGGCCACACUGGAACUGAGACACGGUCCAGAUCCCUACGGGAGGAAGCAGUAGGGAAUCUUCCGCAAUGGGCGAAAGCCUGACGGAGCAACGCCGCGUGAGUGAUGAAGGUCUUCGGAUCGUAAAACUCUGUUAUAGGGAAGAACAUAUGUGUAAGUAACUGUGCACAUCUUGACGGUACCUAAUCAGAAAGCCACGGCUAACUACGUG